rnacentral:rRNA from 1 species
UACGUAGGGUGCGAGCGUUAAUCGGAAUUACUGGGCGUAAAGCGUGCGCAGGCGGUUCGUUAAGUUCGAUGUGAAAUCCCCGGGCUCAACCUGGGAACUGCAUCUGUGACUGCAUCGCUGGAGUGCGGCAGAGGGGGAUGGAAUUCCGCGUGUAGCAGUGAAAUGCGUAGAUAUGCGGAGGAACACCGAUGGCGAAGGCAAUCCCCUGGGCCUGCACUGACGCUCAUGCACGAAAGCGUGGGGAGCAAACAGG